rnacentral:rRNA from 1 species
AGUGAACGCUGGCGGUAGGCCUAACACAUGCCAGUCGAACGGCAGCACAGUAAGAGCUUGCUCUUACGGGUGGCGAGUGGCGGACGGGUGAGGAAUACAUCGGAAUCUACUUUUUCGUGGGGGAUAACGUAGGGAAACUUACGCUAAUACCGCAUACGACCUACGGGUGAAAGCAGGGGAUCUUCGGACCUUGCGCGAUUGAAUGAGCCGAUGUCGGAUUAGCUAGUUGGCGGGGUAAAGGCCCACCAAGGCGAGGAUCCGUAGCUGGGCUGAGAGGAUGAUCAGCCACACUGGAACUGAGACACGGUACAGACUCCUACGAGGGGCAACAGUGGGGAAUAUUGGACAACGGGCGCAAGCCUGUUCCAGCCAUACCGCGUGGGUGAAGAAGGCGUUCGGGUUGUAAGGCCUUUUUGUUGGGAAAGAAAAGCAUCAGGUUAAUACCCCGCUGUUCUGACGGUACCCUAAGAAUAAGCACCGGCUAACUUCGUG